CAGUCGCCGCGGUAAUACGUAGGUGGCAAGCGUUGUCCGGAAUUAUUGGGCGUAAAGCGCGCGCAGGCGGAUCAGUUAGUCUGUCUUAAAAGUUCGGGGCUUAACCCCGUGAUGGGAUGGAAACUGCUGAUCUGGAGUAUCGGAGAGGAAAGUGGAAUUCCUAGUGUAGCGGUGAAAUGCGUAGAUAUUAGGAAGAACGCCAGUGGCGAAGGCGACUUUCUGGACGAAAACUGACGCUGAGGCGCGAAAGCCAGGGGAGCGAACGGGAUUAGAUACCCGAGUAGUCCCUGUCUCUUAUACA
rnacentral:rRNA from 1 species